GAAAUGUCUUGCAAAAGCCAUACAAUAAAACUUGAAUAGGAAGUUAUUUUAGAACGCAAAUUGUAUUUAAAUAUCAGCUGUAAAAAAAAUGUACAUGACAUGCCAGAGAUAUGAUCAGAUUUCUUUAAUUUCCGUAUUAAGUCUGUGACAGACAUUUAGACUUAGUUGCAUGUGUAUUGUUAAAAAAGAAAACCGUCAAAAAUACAUUUCGUUGACAAUUAUAUUCUUGAUUUUUUUUAAGUGUACAUAUGGUGCUGUGAUUAAAUCGUCAUUGUUUAAUAAUGGAGAUAUAAGCGCAGACGCCAGCAGUGUGAAGUCCUGUCACCUGCGCCACACGUCACGUGACAUGAUGAAACUGUGAGGCCAUAGGUUUGAAUGGAGCAGUAGACGCACUACAGUACAUUAUUCCACCUGAGAAACAUUUUCAUGCACAUCUGCUCUGAAAACUACACAACUCCCCACAUCACUGACAGGAAAAAAACCCGUUCGAACAUACUCUGUACAAUGUCUGCCGAUGAGUGUAUAUCACAGAGUGAUUCCAAGGAAAUUCCUGUCUCUGGAAAUGAUACUGAAGGGUAUGUAGACUUAAUCAAUGAAAAAUGUCAUCUCUGUCCACCUCCAGUAUUGUAGUAUUUGAUAAUGUACUGCUUAUUUUUUUUGUUGAUAUAUAAAUAAUGAUAUCCUGUAAUACAUUUUAUUUGUCUUUCUUGCUAGUUCUGUUAAAACUGAAGUAUAUCAGACCGUAAAUCUCCAUGACUCCAAAAACCAACCAAAUGGGGAUUGUUCAUUCCCUGUCAUGAAGAAUAACACAGGUACAGUCUUCACAUGAAAGUUCACAAUAGGUUUGCAUAUUGAAAACACAACUAUUUUGCAUAAAUACUGAAGAGCAUUCAGCAUCGGUCAUGUUGUCCUUGCUGACAAAUAUAAAAAAUAGAUUUUUCACAAAAUACAUUCUUGUGAAAAUGACAAAUGAUAUGAUUUCUGAAUGUCACUUUUGACUUUUUUCAUCUUAUAAUUACAACCGUUAAACAAUUAGGCAGAAAAAAAAUUAAAAUAUAAUUUAUAAAUGUAGCUGCUGCAGAAAUUGUUUGUUGAAAUUGGAGUUUUUAAUUUAACAAGUAAAUACUAUUUUAGUCUUUCUACUUCAAAAUGCAAUGUUUAAUUUUUAUGUGAUACUUGCUGUUUCUUUGUAAUAUAUUAAACCAUACAAGUUAAUAAUAAAUACAGAAUUUGUUCUGUCCCUUUUUUUUUU
ensembl:lncRNA